rnacentral:rRNA from 1 species
AUGAACGCUAGCUACAGGCUUAACACAUGCAAGUCGAGGGGCAUCAGGAAGAAAGCUUGCUUUCUUUGCUGGCGACCGGCGCACGGGUGAGUAACACGUAUCCAACCUGCCCUUUACUCGGGGAUAGCCUUUCGAAAGAAAGAUUAAUACCCGAUGGCAUAAUGAUUCCGCAUGGUUUCAUUAUUAAAGGAUUCCGGUAAAGGAUGGGGAUGCGUUCCAUUAGGUUGUUGGUGAGGUAACGGCUCACCAAGCCUUCGAUGGAUAGGGGUUCUGAGAGGAAGGUCCCCCACAUUGGAACUGAGACACGGUCCAAACUCCUACGGGAGGCAGCAGUGAGGAAUAUUGGUCAAUGGGCGCUAGCCUGAACCAGCCAAGUAGCGUGAAGGAUGAAGGCUCUAUGGGUCGUAAACUUCUUUUAUAUAAGAAUAAAGUGCAGUAUGUAUACUGUUUUGUAUGUAUUAUAUGAAUAAGGAUCGGCUAACUCCGUGCCAGCAGCCGCGGUAAUACGGAGGAUCCGAGCGUUAUCCGGAUUUAUUGGGUUUAAAGGGAGCGUAGGUGGACUGGUAAGUCAGUUGUGAAAGUUUGCGGCUCAACCGUAAAAUUGCAGUUGAUACUGUCAGUCUUGAGUACAGUAGAGGUGGGCGGAAUUCGUGGUGUAGCGGUGAAAUGCUUAGAUAUCACGAAGAACUCCGAUUGCGAAGGCAGCUCACUGGACUGCAACUGACACUGAUGCUCGAAAGUGUGGGUAUCAAACAGGAUUAGAUACCCUGGUAGUCCACACAGUAAACGAUGAAUACUCGCUGUUUGCGAUAUACAGUAAGCGGCCAAGCGAAAGCAUUAAGUAUUCCACCUGGGGAGUACGCCGGCAACGGUGAAACUCAAAGGAAUUGACGGGGGCCCGCACAAGCGGAGGAACAUGUGGUUUAAUUCGAUGAUACGCGAGGAACCUUACCCGGGCUUAAAUUGCAGUGGAAUGAUGUGGAAACAUGUCAGUGAGCAAUCACCGCUGUGAAGGUGCUGCAUGGUUGUCGUCAGCUCGUGCCGUGAGGUGUCGGCUUAAGUGCCAUAACGAGCGCAACCCUUAUCUUCAGUUACUAACAGGUUAUGCUGAGGACUCUGGAGAGACUGCCGUCGUAAGAUGUGAGGAAGGUGGGGAUGACGUCAAAUCAGCACGGCCCUUACGUCCGGGGCUACACACGUGUUACAAUGGGGGGUACAGAAGGCAGCUAGCGGGUGACCGUAUGCUAAUCCCAAAAUCCUCUCUCAGUUCGGAUCGAAGUCUGCAACCCGACUUCGUGAAGCUGGAUUCGCUAGUAAUCGCGCAUCAGCCACGGCGCGGUGAAUACGUUCCCGGGCCUUGUACACACCGCCCGUCAAGCCAUGGGAGCCGGGGGUACCUGAAGUACGUAACCGCAAGGAUCGUCCUAGGGUAAAACUGGUGACUGGGGCU